rnacentral:tRNA from 1 species
AGAGGGGAGCUCAAGGGUAGAGCGUGUGCUUAGCAUGCAUGAGGUCCUGGGUUCAACAACCCCAGUCCCUCCA